rnacentral:rRNA from 1 species
UACGAAGGGGGCUAGCGUUGCUCGGAAUCACUGGGCGUAAAGCGCACGUAGGCGGCUUUUUAAGUCAGGGGUGAAAUCCUGGAGCUCAACUCCAGAACUGCCUUCGAUACUGAGAAGCUUGAGUCCGGGAGAGGUGAGUGGAACUGCGAGUGUAGAGGUGAAAUUCGUAGAUAUUCGCAAGAACACCAGUGGCGAAGGCGGCUCACUGGCCCGGUACUGACGCUGAGGCACGAAAGCGUGGGGAGCAAACAGG